CGAGGGCACCAAGGCCGUCACCAAUUUCACCAGCUAGAUAGGCCGUGUAUGUUUAUCGAUAGUUAGCUGCUGGAUUGUGCCCUAACUAGAUGUUGUCUUUUCAAUGGAACAACACAGACAUGUAAUUUCCGGUCUGAAGAAAGACAUGUUGAUGCUUGGAUGUUGGACGUGUUCUGAUGGUUUGAUUGAUGUUUGCUGAAUGCUUGUUGAUGUCGUUGGUUGUGAGAACUGAAUUCUGCACCGAGCUGUUCCUUCGGAGUGAAAUGGCAGAGUUGCCUCGAGGUAUCUAAGGUAAGCUUUCUUGGACUGAACCUUUCAUGGAAGAUACAUCAGUUCAAUCCAAUCUCUUGUGACAUUUUGCCCCACUUCAUGAAAACUAAGAUUGUUGUUCUUGCUCCUAUGAACAUCUACUUGAUAAUAUAAUAUGUCAUGAACCUAGUGUCACUAUCAUUUAGCACUCCCUCAUUUUGUUGUAGUACGGCUAACAAAUCAAAUCAAAUCUGCCAAGGUUUUUGGUGGUGCCGAGUUAUUACAUAUGACAGAAUCUGUCUAGUCUACAUGUUUGAAUCUGUCUAGAAAAAUCUGUCAAUUCUGUCUAAACUGUGUGUCUGAAUUUGGCCAGGUCAGCAAUGUACUUGGCUCCUUUACAUUACCUAAUGAAAUGGAAUAGUGUACGAAUGGUAGCUUUCUCUUGGUUUGGACUGUGGAUUCAUUCACCUUACUCUAGUUGAUCCCAUCUUUCUUCAAACUGCAGAUGCCAUGCUAAACAGCAGCGCUGCCUCCCUACAAAUACAAUGCAAAACAGUACUACUCAUACAAUUGUCUUGCCCCAUAACUUAUUUGUGCCCUGAAGCUCCUGGCAAAAAACUCGCACUAUUUUAUUUUUUCAGAUGAACAAAACUCCAGUAGUAAUUAAGUGGUUAAUUCUCCUACUGUUCUGCAGCUCCAAUAAACAAAACAACAAACAUUUCCUUAGCCUUAGACAGAUCUGCACAUAUUUUGCAAUUUAAGCAUUCAGUACAUUUCCAGUAAUCUUACUCUGUUCAUUGUUAUUCAGUGUGGCUUGUAAGGCUGGACUGCGCAAAUACAGAAAUACCAACAUAGGUCAUCUCAUGGUUGUGUGCCUUGAGGCGAACCUACACAUACACACAACCCCAUUUGCAGUAUUUAUAACAACUCAACUUUAUCUCUCCCGAACUCCUAUAUUUAUUUUAAAUCUGGGACUACUUCGUUCCACUCCUAUAUAUAAUACAUAGGCAUCAGGCGGUUUGCUGUUGGCAAAGUGUGGCGAUGUUUUCAUGUAUUUGUAUGGGUGUUGUGGCUUACAUAGUUGCAGUGGUUUUUUCAUAUUGUAGCUCACUCUGCUGCAUCUGCUCAAGAUUAUCUGUUGGCUGUUACUUUAUUUUACUUUAUUUUGUUUUCUAAAGAUAUGUUUGGCCUGCUGUAUAACUUGCGUGACCUGAUUCUAUGUUUCACAUGUACGUAUAGUCUGCAAGAAAGCUAGCUGACUCCUUUCUCCUUUUUCUUUUUGUCGGUAAGUAACUCUUUUUUUCCUGAAACUGAACGGUAGCUAAACUGGGAAGUUGGAAUGUUUGGGUUUUAUGUUUAACUGAACGACAGCUAACUUCGGAAGUUUGAAUACUUGACUUCAGUAUGGCUUUUUAAGAGAGUGCUUGGUUAUGUACGAUCUCUUCGUGGUAACCGGGAGAAUGAGGAGAGGACGACUAGGCUGUUGGAGGAGGAGAGGAACCGGAACGACUCGGCUAACCGGGCCAUGUACGAUCUCUUCGUGGUAAGUUUCUUCUGCAUAUUAGCUAAAUCAUGCACGCAAUGUUCCUUUCAUUAGUAACUAAUAUGACUGACUCGUCAAAACCAAAUGUGCAGUCCAUGUGCGAGAAGAACGGCCAGACCCCUCCACCGAUGCCAGUCAUUGCUCCGGCGGGCACGGUGAGUUUCAUUUGAACAGUCAUUAGUUACUAGUCUUCACAUUUGAGUUGCAUCAUGCUAACGAUACAUUGGAAAUAAUCUUUGGUGCAGCGUAACUCUCGACAAGCAUCGACCGAUCCUUCUCCGUCUGCCACUGGCGCGACCGGUCCUACACCUACACCUCCAUGAUGAUGGUAAGUUUCCCAAGUGUUUUGCUUAAUAGAGUUUUGUUGUGAUGCCAUGUUGUAUCUACACAUAUCGUGCAUAAUGUGUGUAUGUUUGAAAUGCAUUGUAUGUGUGGGAUUCGACACCUAGUGAUGUGCCUUUGGUAGCCUUCCAUACAGGAAAAUGCCUCCUAGUGCUUCCACUGAGCCAUGGUAGUUCGCUACUGCUCUGGAACACAUGGAUUGACCGGCAUGUGUCCUUCUUUGCUCCUUUGUCUGUCCCUACGGGGAAAUGUCACGCGGUGUAUCACCGAAGUCCUUGUAGCUUGCUACGACUUGGUUGAACUCGCUGAUGACCGACACGUGCAUUGUUGGGUCAUGUAUGCCUGUCCCUGUACGUUUGUGCCACCUUGGUUCUAUGACUAGUCAUGUCGGCCCGGGUUCUCUGCCAUAUGGAUACUAGCGACAUAAUCAUAUACUUAGCAUUUUUUCCUCCAAAAUGACUCAAUAUGCUUAGCUAGCUCAAAAAUGACAUAAUAAGCUUAAUUAGCUCCAAAAUGACAUAUUUAACCUAGGAUAGCUCUAAAAUGACCUAUACUUAGCAUUUUUCCUCCAAAAUGACUUAAUAUGCUUAGCUAGCUUAAAAAUGACAUAUUUAACCUAGGAUAGCUCUAAAAUGACCUAUACUUAGCAUAUUUUCCUCCAAAAUGACUUAAUAUGCUUAGCUAACUCUAAAAUGACAUAAUAUGCUUAAGAAAUGACAUAUUUUAGCUCCUAAAUGACUUCACAUGCUUAGCUAGCUCCAAAAUGCCAUAAUAACCUUACUUAGCUCUAGAAUGACCUUAGCAUGUUUUACACCAAAAUGACUUAGUAUGCUUAGCUAGCUCAAAAAUGACAUAAUAACCAUACUUAGCUCCAAAAUGACCUAUUUUACAGAUAUAAGUUGCAUCAAUAAUCUUCACAUUUUAGUUGCAUCAUAAUAAUCUUCUUCUUCUAGUCUUCUUCUUCUAACUUUCUUCUUUCCCAUUUUACAGAUUUGCUUGAGAUCGCGGAAGCUUGGGUUGAUGGAGUGCUUGUAUUUAGUUUUUGUUUUGACCUUGUGAAACUUGCUACCUAUGGAUGAAACUGUGUAAUAUUGAUGAAACUAUGUAUAUGUACGGAUGAAACUUGCUACUAUUGGUAACAUGUGUUGGAUACAUAUGUGUUCAUGACUAUUGGUAAUAUGUGUUGAAUAUGCUAUAUUGGUCAUAUAAAUAUAUUUGUGUUU
rnacentral:lncRNA from 1 species